GAAAGUAACGAAGGGCGUACGGUGGAUGCCUAGGCUCUUACAGGCGAUGAAGGACGUGAUAAGCUGCGAAAAGCCGCGGUGAGGCGCAAAUGGCCCUUGACCCGCGGAUCUCCGAAUGGGACAACCCAAUAUCUUGAAGAGAUAUUAUCCCGCCGGUGCGGGAGGCGAACGCGGGGAACUGAAACAUCUUAGUACCCGCAGGAAAAGAAAAUAAAGAAUGAUUCCCCCAGUAGUGGCGAGCGACCGGGGAACAGCCCAAACCGACGUUGUCUCGGCAUCGUCGGGGUUGUAGGACCGCGCCAUCGCAAGAAAGGCCGUGAGUGGAAGCGACUGGAAAGCCGCGCCAUAGAGGGUGACAGCCCCUUACACGAAGCAGCCCGAAGCGUAGCGGACUCCUGAGUAGCGCGGGACACGAGUAAUCCUGUGUGAAUCCGCCGGGCCCAUCCGGCAAGGCUAAAUACUCGUAAGAGACCGAUAGUGAACCAGUACCGUGAGGGAAAGGUGAAAAGUACCCCUUGCAGGGGAGUGAAAGAGUUCCUGAAACCGUACGCCUACAAGCGGUCGGAGCAUCUUGAAUGAUGUGACGGCGUGCCUUUUGCAUAAUGAACCUACGAGUUGCCGUCACCAGCGAGGUUAAGUGCGAUGACGCACCGAGCCGCAGCGGAAGCGAGUCUUAAAAGGGCGCAAUAGUUGGUGGAGGCAGACGCGAAACCGAGUGAUCUACACUUGUCCAGGAUGAAGUCCCGGUAACACGGGAUGGAGGUCCGCACCAAUAAGCGUUGAAAAGCUUCUGGAUGAGGUGAGUGUAGGAGUGAAAGGCCAAUCAAACUCGGAGAUAGCUCGUACUCCCCGAAAGGCAUUUAGGUGCCGCCUGUGGCGUUCCCGACGUGAGGUAGAGCGACUGAUAGGAUGCGAGGGCUUCACCGCCUAUCAAGUCCUGACAAACUCCGAAUGCACGUCGGCCAAGCCAUGGAGUAAGGGCAUGGGUGCUAAGGUCCGUGCCCGAGAGGAGAAGAAUCCAGACCACCGGCUAAGGUCCCGAAAUACUGGUUAAGUUAGACUAACGCAGUCCGGCCCCCAAGACAGCUAGGAUGUUGGCUUGGAAGCAGCCAUUCAUUCAAAGAGUGCGUAACAGCUCACUAGUCGAGGAGCUGGGCGUGGAUAAUAAUCGGGUAUGAAACCAGUUACCGAAGCCGUGGGAUGCUUAAGCAUCGGUAGGGGAGCAUUGCAUGCGGCUUAGAAGGCGGGGCGCGAGCCCCUCUGGAGCGCAUGGAAACGCAAAUGUAGGUAUAAGUAACGACAAGGGGGGUGGGAUGCCCCCCCGCCGAAAGACCAAGGUUUCCUGAACAACGCUAAUCGGUUCAGGGUCAGUCGGGUCCUAAGCAUAAGCCGUAUGGCGAGGGCGAUGGACGAAACGGUUAAUAUUCCGUUACUGUCUUGGUGUGUGACGCGGCGACGGAGUAGUGACACGGCCGCCUCCUGACGGAAAAGGGGGUUGAAGCGCAAAGGUGUCGAGGAAGGCAGGCAAAUCCACCUUCCGAGCCGAAGCGCGAAAGUACGCCGGGCCCUUUGGGGCAAGGCGAUAGUGCCGGUAAUCAGACUUCCAAGAAAACCCGCUAAACUUCAGCACCAAGUCACCCGUACUCUAAACGGACACACGUGGUCGGGUAGAAUAUACUAAGGCGCUUGGGAGAUUCACGGUUAAGGAACUAGGCAAAUUGACCCCGUACCUUCGGAAUAAGGGGUCCUCGCUUUUGCGAGGCGCAGAGAAUAGGUCCAGGCAACUGUUUAACAAAAACACAGGGCUGUGCAAAUUUGAAAGAAGAAGUAUACAGCCUGACACCUGCCCGGUGCCGGAAGGUUAAGAGGAGAGCUCAUCAGCGAUGAGAAGGCUUGAAUUGAAGCCCCGGUAAACGGCGGCCGUAACUAUAACGGUCCUAAGGUAGCGAAAUUCCUUGUCGGGUAAGUUCCGACCUG
rnacentral:rRNA from 1 species